UACAGAGGGUGCGAGCGUUAAUCGGAAUUACUGGGCGUAAAGCGUGCGUAGACGGUUAUGUAAGUCGGGUGUGAAAGCCCCGGGCUCAACCUGGGAAUUGCAUUCGAGACUGCAUAGCUAGGGUGCGGAAGAGGGAAGCGGAAUUUCCGGUGUAGCGGUGAAAUGCGUAGAUAUCAGGAGGAACACCAAUUGCGAAGGCAGCUCGCUGGGACGUUACUGACGCUGAGACGCGAAAGCGUGGGGAGCAAACAGG
rnacentral:rRNA from 1 species